rnacentral:rRNA from 1 species
UGGGGAAUAUUGGACAAUGGGCGAAAGCCUGAUCCAGCCAUGCCGCGUGUGUGAAGAAGGUCUUCGGAUUGUAAAGCACUUUAAGUUGGGAGGAAGGGCAGUAAGCGAAUACCUUGCUGUUUUGACGUUACCGACAGAAUAAGCACCGGCUAACUCUGUGCCAGCAGCCGCGGUAAUACAGAGGGUGCAAGCGUUAAUCGGAAUUAUUGGGCGUAAAGCGCGCGUAGGUGGUUCGUUAAGUUGAAUGUGAAAGCCCCGGGCUCAACCUGGGAACUGCAUCCAAAACUGGCGAGCUAGAGUAGGGCAGAGGGUGGUGGAAUUUCCUGUGUAGCGGUGAAAUGCGUAGAUAUAGGAAGGAACACCAGUGGCGAAGGCGACCACCUGGGCUCAUACUGACACUGAGGUGCGAAAGCGUGGGGAGCAAACAGG